GACGGAGGGUGCAAGCGUUGUUCGGAUUGACUGGGCGUAAAGCGCACGUAGGCGGAUCUUUAAGUCAGGGGUGAAAUCCCGAGGCUCAACCUCGGAACUGCCUUUGAUACUGGGGAUCUCGAGUCCGGGAGAGGUGAGUGGAACUGCGAGUGUAGAGGUGAAAUUCGUAGAUAUUCGCAAGAACACCAGUGGCGAAGGCGGCUCACUGGCCCGGAACUGACGCUGAGGUGCGAAAGCGUGGGGAGCAAACAGG
rnacentral:rRNA from 1 species